AACGAACGCUGGCGGCAGGCUUAACACAUGCAAGUCGAGCGCCCCGCAAGGGGAGCGGCAGACGGGUGAGUAACACGUGGGAAUCUACCCAUCCCUGCGGAACAACUCCGGGAAACUGGAGCUAAUACCGCAUACGCCCUUCGGGGGAAAGAUUUAUCGGGGAUGGAUGAGCCCGCGUUGGAUUAGCUAGUUGGUGGGGUAAAGGCCUACCAAGGCGACGAUCCAUAGCUGGUCUGAGAGGAUGAUCAGCCACAUUGGGACUGAGACACGGCCCAAACUCCUACGGGAGGCAGCAGUGGGGAAUAUUGGACAAUGGGCGCAAGCCUGAUCCAGCCAUGCCGCGUGAGUGAUGAAGGCCUUAGGGUUGUAAAGCUCUUUCACCGAUGAAGAUAAUGACGGUAGUCGGAGAAGAAGCCCCGGCUAACUUCGUGCCAGCCGCCGCGGUAACAC
rnacentral:rRNA from 1 species